UGGACAAGGAGAUUUAGUUCCCUCUCCUCUCUUUGACUUCCUCUGCACCGAAGAAUACAAGUCCGUCUCCAUUAACAGAGCUGCAUUAACCCUCUUUACCUCUCUCCACGAUCAUCUCUCUGGACUAAAAACUCAGGUCAAAAUAUGAUAGUUGUUUUUAUUUUCGUUUCCUUUUUGUUAACAAUUGUGAGACAUGAAACAGCUUGACCAUGAGAUCUCUCUCAUAGAGUCAAACUACCUGAAGAAGAAGAAGACGUUACACAUAUCCAUCUGCGUUGCAUCAUCGCAUUACCCAUUGAUCGGUUGUGAUUCAACUCUUAAUAGGAAGACAGUAGAACUGGUGUUGGUAUCUGUUUUUAGAUCAGCUUAUAUGUAUCUUGUUGCUAAAAAGGGAAUGUUUAGAAGUGAGAUUAAUGGGAUUAUUCUGACAUGGAUUUCAUAUGGUUACCUGUUUUGCAGUUGACUGUGAUUGAAGGUCAAUUAAUCAUCACUGGGCACUCCCUGGGAGGAGCCGUUGCUUCUCUCUUCACCUUAUGCCUGCUAGAUGAAAAUUUAUUAAAACCCAAAUGCCGCCCCUUUUGUAUCACCUUUGGUUCACCCCUCGUCGGCGGCUUUGGCCUCCAACACUCCAUAUGGAAUUCUUUCUUCCUGCAUGUAGUGUCUAACCAAGACCCAGUCCCCGGUCUCUUCCUCCCAUCUGGCAGAGGCAGAUCUACGCCCACAUCCUCCCAUUCACAAACUACCGGUUACAAGCCCUUUGGGACAUAUCUCUUGUGCUCUGAACUUGGUUGUGCUUGUUUUGACAACCCUGAUUUAAUUUUGGAAUUGCUGAAAGUCAUAUCAUCAGAGGUUGCCGGAGGAUUGCAGGAUGUUGAUUAUGGGGAGAUUUUAAGAAACCUCAAGGAGAGGGCAAUCUGCAAGGGACUUCCGCAGGUGGGUGAAAGGUUUGCAAAUCCAUUUUCAGCUGGGAUCAUCAUGGAACUUGAGACAAUUGGAUUUAAUCAAACAAAGGUAAACAGCUUUCUCCCAUCUAAUGAUGUUAUGGAACAUGGUUUACACCUCAUUAAAUACUGCAACAACUGCCCUAUUUAGAUUUACCUUCUUGUUCUUUGGGAUUUUCCAUAACUAGACUCAUUUUUUAAUUUCAUGGCAGCUGCUGCAGCAUAACAUUGAUAUCGAGACUGUGAUAAGCGCAAUGGAAGCGGAAGCAAGAAACCUAACCCAGAAAAAUAAAGCUUCCGAUGCCAAGAAACUGAAUGAAAUAAAAAUAGACAUGACCCGGCUAGAAUUGUAUAAGAAGAAUUCGAACAUGGGUUACUACGAUUGCUUCAAAAACCAGGGGUCUAAAAGGGACAUCCACGUUGAACAGUUUAGGGUAAACCUCACAGGGUACUGGGAAGGCAUGGUUGCACAAAUACAGAGGAAGCCUCAUAAGGAAGGAGCAACAUUUCGAACCCGUUGGCUCUAUGCAGGGACGGUUUAUAGAAGAAUGGUUGAACCACUGGACAUUGCUGCCUUCUACAGAGAGGGUAGAAAAGACUACAUGAAUAAAAGAUCUGCACAUUACAAGCUGUUGCAGGAAUGGUAUGAGGAAGAUGUGAAACCCCCCUCUAGAGAUAAGCUUGAUUCCAAGAAGCAAAAGGUGUCCAGUAUCCUAACUGAGGAUUCUUGCUUUUGGGCACAUGUGGAGGAGGCUAUCUUGUCAUGCGAAUUGCUCAAGAGUGAAAACUGUAAUCUUGAGGAGGGAAAAUCAUCAUGGGAUAAUCUGGUUAAGUUCGAGGAGUAUGUAAUGGAACAGAUUGACAACUAUGCAGUGUCCCCUGAGAUUUUCUUGGAGAAAAGCAGCUUCAUGAAAUGGAGGGGACUGUAUGAGGGCUACAUAGAUACUCGCAGUAAUUCCCAUAGCUCGCCAUUGAUCAGCUUUAUGAAGAAUCGUAGUUAUAGACAAUAUGGAUAGAGGGGUAAUCCAGUUUGUGUGUUGUGUGUAUUGUUUUGUGAGCAUUCAAUGGAUAGAACUAGAAAGAGUGUGACCUUUUCCUUUUUUUUUUCAGUUGCUGCCCAUAUUCUCAGCACUAUUUUCUUCCUUCUUUUCCUCAGUUUUUUUGUUAAGAAAUGAAUAUUAUGAUGUUGCCGGGAUGCACUUUCAUUUUUGUUCCAUUACAUUGUGUUUUAUUCAUAUCCUAAACAAAUAAAUGUAAACAAGAAAAUCAAAUGAGACUUCAAAGAGUCUGUUCCUUUUAAAGCAAGGGAAAAAAAGGACAUGUUUGUUUACUUCCACAGCUGGGUAGAUUCAACUCCACCAAAAUUGGCAACAACUUCCCAUUGAAAAAUUCCUUUUAAGCUUGAAUGACAUAAAACUAGAUAUGUUCCAGCUAGAAUGGUACAAGAAAGAAAUCAAAAGAUGAGCACAAUGGGUUAUUAUGACAGCUUUAGAAACCUGGGGUGUAAAAGAGACAUUAAAAUGGAACCGAGGGGAAGACAUUGUAGAACAAGUAAAGAGGAAGCCUCACCAGGAAGGGCAGCUUUGCAAACCCUCUGGCUCUGUACAGGAACGAAUUAUAGAAAGAUGGUUGAACCACUUGACAUUGCUGCCUACCACAGAGAGGGUGGAAGAAACUACAUAACCAAUGGAGGAUGUAAACAUUACACGCUAUUAGAGCAAUGAUGCAAUGAAGAGAAGGGGACUUUGUCUUCCAAUAAUUUAAGAAAAUAAAACCAAAUAAUGCCAGAAUUUGGGUUGAGAAACACCCAAAAGAUAGUGGCCCAAUAUGAAGUAGUCACAAAACUAGUAACAGCCUUGUGGCCAUAGUUGGUGUAGUAUGAGCAAGUGGGGUAUGAAGUAGGUAGGUGAGUAUUGCAAUGAAAUUUCCAGCACUGCUUCCUGAAUUAAGAAAUCACAUACUCAAGUCUUAAUCGUUGUCAUCAUACCGUGUGAGAACCGAGGAAGAAUCUUUGCUCUUAGACUGGAUUUUGUAGUCUUUCUUUAACAAUUACAAGUUAUCUGAAUUCCCUUCAUCCUCCUAUAUAAUAUUGUUUUUGGUCUUGUUCUUGUUGCAUUGUGGCUAGGCAUCUCCAUGGGAGGAAGGAGGAUGAAUCAAGUUCCUUUGUAUGAAUCAAUUUCUCUGCUCUUUUUUUUUUCAAUCCUUGAAUCGAAUCAUUGCUUAGUUCUUGCUUUAAUUUCUCCAUUUUCUGUUGGGUCUUUGAUUGCAGGUUUAGCUCUGCAAGAAAACUGGGAAAUUUAAUUGUGACCUCCAAUCUAAUCGACUCUGCUUUGACUAAAAUUCUUGAGCUUCAAAGAGACCAAACAGCCUUGCCUUCCCCCGUUCAAUACAGAGUUUUUUAUCCAUCUCCCAACUGCACAAUUGUAGCUUUUGUCUCUUCACCUGACUGCACUCAAAACCCUCUUCCUGGACAAGGAGAUUUAGUUCCCUCUCCUCUCUUUGACUUCCUCUGCACCGAAGAAUACAAGUCCGUCUCCAUUAACAGAGCUGCAUUAACCCUCUUUACCUCUCUCCACGAUCAUCUCUCUGGACUAAAAACUCAGGUCAAAAUAUGAUAGUUGUUUUUAUUUUCGUUUCCUUUUUGUUAACAAUUGGGAGACAUGAAACAGCUUGACCAUGAGAUCUCUCUCAUAGAGUCAAACUACCUGAAGAAGAAGAAGACGUUACACAUAUCCAUCUGCGCUGCAUCAUCGCAUUACCCAUUGAUCGGUUGUGAUUCAACUCUUAAUAGGAAGACAGUAGAACUGGUGUUGGUAUCUGUUUUUAGAUCAGCUUAUAUGUAUCUUGUUGCUAAAAAGGGAAUGUUUAGAAGUGAGAUUAAUGGGAUUAUUCUGACAUGGAUUUCAUAUGGUUACCUGUUUUGCAGUUGACUGUGAUUGAAGGUCGAUUAAUCAUUACUGGGUACUCGAUGGGAGGAUCCGUUGCUUCUCUCUUCACCUUAUGCCUGUUAGAAGUCAUCAAUUUAUCAAAACCCAAAUGCCGCCCCAUUUGUAUCACCUUUGGUUCACCCCUCAUAGGCGACUUUGGCCUCCAACACUCCAAUUGGAAUUCUUUCUUCUUGCAUGUAGUGUCCAACCAAGAUCUAGUCCCCGGACUCUUCCUCCCAUCCGACAGAUCUCCUCCCACAUCCUCCCAUUCACAAACUACUGGUUACAAGCCCUUUGGGACAUAUCUCUUGUGCUCUGAACUUGGUUGUGCUUGUUUUGACAACUCUGAUUUAAUUUUGGAAUUGCUGAAAGUCAUAUCAUCAGAGGUUGCCAGAGGAUUGCGGGAUGUUGAUUACAGGAAGAUUUUAAGAAACCUCAAGGAGAGGGCAAUCUGCAAGGGACUUCCGCAGGUGGGUGAAAGGUUUGCAAAUCCAUUUUCAGCUGGGAUCAUCAUGGAACUUGAGACGAUUGGAUUUAAUGAAACAAAGGUAAACAGCUUUCUCCCAUCUACUGAUGUUAUGGAACAUGGUUUACACAUCAUUAAAUACUGCAACAACUGCCCUAUUUAGAUUUAGGGCAAUGAUGAAAAUAUCAGUAAUCACGGAUAUAUCAGUAUUUCGAUUUUACGGAUAUAUCGGAUAUAUCGGAGAUAUAUCGGUAGAUAUUUUGAAAAAAAAUAUCGGCAAGCUUAAAAUUGUUAAAAACUCAUGAAAAUAUAAGAAAAUCUCAUAAUAAUAUAAUUAAAAGUAUAAUAGACAUUUUAAAGUUAUUUUAUUGAAAAUUUUGAUAUAUGUAUAACAUGAUUUAUCAUAUUUGAUAAUAAUAUCGUAUGCGUCGAUAAAAAUAUGAAUUUUAUAAGUGUACAUUUAUUAUUAAAUUACACCUAAUAUUAUGAUAUCUGAUUAUAAUAUGUCUAAUUUUAAAAUAUAUAUUAGUAUUAAAAUAUGAUCCAUUUAAUUCAAUUGUAUUAAACAAUAUAAAAUAAAUAAUGAUAUAUAUAUAUAUAUAUAUAAUUUUUUAAUAUUUAAUUAAUUAUUAAUGAUAUUAAAAACAUUAUGAAGAAAAUUAUAUAAUUUUUUAAUUUUUGGUAAUUAAUUAAAAGACUUUGCAUUUAAUUAUAAAUUAAUUAUAAUUAAUUUACUCUUUAAAAUAUUCUUAUAUUUUCUUUAUAUAAUGAAUUUAAGUAUAUAUAUAGUUGUUGCAUAUUAUAUAUUAAAGGACAACUUAGCCCAAGUGGUAAGCGAGUGAACCCCAAUGUGAGGCAUUGUAGCACGUGCACUGUAGCAUCACUGUAGCGACUCUGACUUUCGUUGACCCGCAUUGACUACACGAUAUAUCGGAGAAAAAUCACUGAUUUAUCGCCAAAUCACCAAUAAAUCGCCGAUUUCUCGCGAUAAAUACCAAAAUAUAGUGUCGAAACCCUUCGAUACACGAUUUUUCGGCGCAUUUUCUUACUUGGAUUUACCUUUUUGUUCUUUGGGAUCUUCCAUGACUCAUUUUUUAAUGCCAUUUUAUUUUCCUUUUUGUUUCUAAAUUUUUAAAAAAUCGUUUUCACUUCUUUUUUUUAAGAAAAUUUUGGCAAAUUUUGAAAAUAUAAUAUUAGUGUUUUCACUUCUUUCUUUUUUUUUUUUUUCUUUUUUUUUUUAAACUCAAUUUUCUAAAAAAUGAAAAUAGAAAAACAUUGUCUAAACAUGUUUGUAAACUUAAUUUUAUUUUUUUAUAAAUGAAAAAAAAAAUCUAAAUGAGUAAGGCUUUAUUAAUUUUAAUUUUUUUCUUUUCCUUAUAUUUUCUUAUUUUAUUCCAAAUUUUCUUGCAACCAAACAUAAUCUAAAUGUUUACAACUUUUAUUGUAAGGAAUGAAUGACACUACUUUGUGAACUUUUAUGAUAAUAUUUUGAAUCAUAAAUUGUGUUUUUUUUAGUAAUAUCAAUUUUAUUACCAAUGACUUAAUUGUUAAUAACAAAAUAUAAUAUUUAUAAAUAUUUUUAUUCUCAACAGGCUACAAUUUUUACUCUUGUGAUAAAAAAAAUUUUGUCAUAAAUUACACAUUAUGAUGAGUUUUUCUAUUUUCCUUAUCAGCCAAUUCAACAAAUAUCAUAUAUAUUGUAAUGGCUAACAAAUUUUCACAUAAAUUUUUUAUAAGAUAAAGUAGAAUGGAAUUAUUCAAUUUCAAAAAAAAAAAAAAUGGUACCUAAUGAAAAAGAUAAAAUAUAUAGAUCAUCUCGAAGAAAUCAGGAAAGAUAAAUGAUGAGACCAUAUAUAGGACCCUUGAUGGAGACUAUUUUAAUUGAAGUGGUGUGCUCCUUCCGACUCAGAACAUGUUCAGCAUUGCACACAAACUAACAUCGUCGAUCUUGAGUAUGAAAAAGGUGAUUAGAUUCCAAGGUUGUCGUUUGUCCCAACUCCUCAUAUUAGAGGUGAUGCUCAAGCUAACGUGCCUCGCAGUUGAGCCCCGGCCAAUCGGUCUAAUAUGCUUUUCCAAUGGUGAGUUUCACUGCCACCAUGUAUUACAUUAAUUCCGAUAGCGCACAAGUUGUGUUUGUGCUAUUGCUUUUUGCCCUCACAAACAUAUACACAAGAGACAUUCAGACCAGAUCUGUUCUACCAUCCUCUAGGAAAGCAUUGUAGGUCAUUUGAAAUUGGGAUUUCAGCACCAGAGUCAAAUUGCCUUCCUUCCUGAAAGAUGAGCAUUUUUUAUACUCUUACAUCGGCUUUUAUGGAAAUGAAAUCAGCUUCUCAUUCUGUUACAUUUUUCAAUUUUGCUGCCUAUAACUGCUCACUGCCUGUUUGUGAGACAUUAUCCAGAUUUUCCCUGAUCAAUUAUAGAGAGGUCAUUGGACUCAUCCAUGAUUGGAAUUUCCUGUUAUCAUUAUUUGCAAAUCAUCAACCAUUUGUCAUGAUAUCUUAAGUUAAGCUGAGCACGAAUUUCAGCUAAGAUCCUCAGAACUAGAAAUAUGCACUGCAGGUAUUACUUGAUAUGUGAAUAUCCAAUACAAUAUUUUUUUACUAAGAGGAAUACGAAUUUGAAACACUUUCCAAUAAUUUAUCAAGUCAUAUUUUCGUGCUGUCGUGAUACAUGUGUCUACUGUAUGCAUGGCUUUUCUUUUCUACACAUGCCUUUAUCUUUGCACAUGACUCUUUUGAUACACGCCAGCAUCAAGGCAAUUGCCUAAAUCUAAAUCACAUCCUUUGUGUCACGUCUUCCUUGUUACCACGGUCCUCUUGUACACCAUGGUCCCUUAAUGUAACUUGUGCCACAAGCCCUUUGUGCAUGAAUUCAAAUUGUUCAAUCAUUUCGCCAUUUACACCUUUUAAGGUCCAAUAAGCGUAUACAAGAGACUACACUCAUUCUAGAUGAUAAAGUACAUUCAACUAACUACUCUUGCUAAUGAGCAUAUCCAAGUCAAUACAUAAGAUUAAUUAUUACAUAUGGUAAUUGAAACCCUGUUUAAAUAAAUAGUGACACAAAUAUAAAAAAUAUAUAUAUUUAAAAAUAAAUAAAUAACAAUUUAGAGAAUUUCAUAACUUAGUAUCAAACCUAUUGUAGGAAAGAGUAUUAUACAAUGUAGGGUUUAGGAUCAAAGUUAACCUAAGAUCAAUUUUAAGUUUUAAGACCAAUUCAAAUUCAAAACUAAGGUUUUAAGUUUCAAAAAUAUAUCUCUUAAACCAAUUAAAUAGAAAAAAGAAAAUUACAAAGAAAAUUUCUUCCUCAUCGGUUUCUUUUAUCUUGAAAACUAAAGGAAAUAUAUAUCAAUAUUUGAGAUGGAAAUUCAUAAUCUUAGAAACACAAAGAACAAAGAGAGUAUGAAGAGACCAUACCAUGAGAGAUUUUCCAAAAGGUUGGUAAACCAUGGUAAUCACCUUUGAGUUUUGCUGAGAAAAACAAACCUUAAUUUUUAUUUUUAUUUUUUUAUCAUUUUUUCUCUUGUGGUGUACAUUUAAGAAAAACAAAUCUUAAAAAAAAAAAAAAAAAAACCAAAUAAUGCCAGAAUUUGGGUUGAGAAACACCCAAAAGAUAGUGGCCCAAUACAUGUGCCUAAGAAAAUCUUCAUGAGCCGAUAAACAUAGUCACAAAACUAGUAACAGCCUUGUAGCCAUAGUUGGUGUAGUAUGAGCAAGUGGGGUAUGAAGUAGGUAGGUGAGUAUUGCAAUGAAAUUUCCAGCACUGCUUCCUGAAUUAAGAAAUCACAUACCCAAGUCUUAGUCGUCGUCGUCGUACCGUGUGAGAACCGGGAAGAAUCUUUGCUCGUAGAGUGGCUUUUGUAGUCUUUCUUUAACAAUUACAAGUUAUCUGAAUUCCCUUCAUCCUCCUAUAUAAUAUUGUUUUUGGUCUUGUUCUUGUUGCAUUGUGGCUAGGCAUCUCCAUGGAAGGAAGGAGGAUGAAUCAAGUUCCUUUGUAUGAAUCAAUUUCUCUGCUCUUUUUCUUUUCAAUCCGUGAAUCGAAUCAUUGCUUAGUUCUUGCUUUAAUUUCUCCAUUUUCUGUUGGGUCUUUGACUGCAGGUUUAGCUCUGCAAGAGAACUGGGAAAUUUAAUGGUGACCUCCAAUCUAAUCGACUCUGCUUUGACUAAAAUUCUUGAGCUUCAAAGAGACCAAACAGCCUUGCUUUCCUCCGUUCAAUACAGAGUUUUUUAUCCAUCUCCCAAGUGCACAAUUGUAGCUUUUGUCUCUUCACCUGACUGCACUCAAAACCCUCUUCCUGGACAAGGAGAUUUAGUUCCGUCUCCUCUCUUUGACUUCCUCUGCACCGAAGAAUACAAGUCCGUCUCCAUUAACAGAGCUGCAUUAACCCUCUUUACCUCUUUCCACGAUCAUCUCUCUGGACUAAAAACUCAGGUCAAAAUAUGAUAGUUGUUUUUAUUUUCGUUUCCUUUUUGUUAACAAUUGUGAGACAUGAAACAGCUUGACCAUGAGAUCUCUCUCAUAGAGUCAAACUACCUGAAGAAGAAGAAGACGUUACACAUAUCCAUCUGCGUUGCAUCAUCGCAUUACCCAUUGAUCGGUUGUGAUUCAACUCUUAAUAGGAAGACAGUAGAACUGGUGUUGGUAUCUGUUUUUAGAUCAGCUUAUAUGUAUCUUGUUUCUAAAAAAGGUAAGUUUAGAAGUGAGAUUAAUGGGAUUAUUCUGACAUGGAUUCCAUAUGGUUACCUGUUUUGCAGUUGACUCAGAUUGAAGGUCAAUUAAUCAUCACUGGGCACUCCCUGGGAGGAUCCGUUGCUUCUCUCUUCACCUUAUGCCUGCUAGAUGGAAAUUUAUUAAAACCCAACUGCCGCCCCUUUUGUAUCACCUUUGGUUCACCCCUCAUCGGCGGCUUUGGCCUCCAACACUCCAUAUGGAAUUCUUUCUUCCUGCAUGUAGUGUCUAACCAAGACCCAGUCCCCGGUCUCUUCCUCCCAUCUGGCAGAGGCAGAUCUACGCCCACAUCCUCCCAUUCACAAACUACCGGUUACAAGCCCUUUGGGACAUAUCUCUUGUGCUCUGAACUUGGUUGUGCUUGUUUGGAAAAGCCUGAUUUAAUUUUGGGAUUGCUGAAAGUCAGAUCAUCCGAGGUUGCCGGAGGAUUGCAGGAUGUUGAUUAUGGGGAGAUUUUAAGAAACCUCAAGGAGAGGGCAAUCUGCAAGGGACUUCAGCAGGUGGGUGAAAGGUUUGCAGAUCCUUUUACAGCUGGGAUCAUCAUGGACCUUGAGAUAAUUGGAUUUGAUCAAACAAAGGUAAACAGCUAGCUUUCUCCCAUCUAAUGAUGUUAUGAAACAUGGUUUACACUUCACCAAAUACUGCAACAACUGCCCUAUUUAGAUUUGCCGUCUUGUUCUUUGGGAUCUUCCAUAACUAGACUCAUUUUUUAAUUUCAUGGCAGCUGCUGCAGCAUAACAUUGAUAUCGAGACUGUGAUAAGCACAAUGGAAGAGGAAGCCAGAAACCCAACCAAAAAAAAUAAAGCUUUCGAUGCCAAGAUUCUGAAUCACAAAAAAAAAGACAUGGCCGGGCUAGAAUGGUAUAAGAAGAAAUCAAAAGAUCUGAACAAGGGUUACUACGACUGCUUCAAAAACCAGGGGUCAAAAAGGGACAUUAAAAUUGAACAGUAUGGGGGACACCUCACAUUAUACUGGAAAGACAUGGUUGCACAAGUACAGAGGAAGCCCCAGAAGGAAGGAGCAACAUUUCGAACCCGUUGGCUCUAUGCAGGGACGGUUUAUAGAAGAAUGGUUGAACCACUGGACAUUGCUGCCUUCUACGUAGAGGGUGGAACAGACUACAUGAAGAAUGAAAGAUCUCUUCAUUACAAGCUGUUGCAGCAAUGGUAUGAGGAAGAUGUGAAACCCCCCUCUAAGGAUAAGCUUGAUUCCAAGAAGCAAAAGGUGUCUGGUAUCCUAACUGAGGAUUCUUGCUUUUGGGCACAUGUGGAGGAGGCUAUCUUGUCAUGCGAAUUGCUUAAGAGUGAAAACUGUACUCUUGAGCAGGAAAAAUCAUCAUGGGAUAAUCUGGUUAAGUUCGAGGAGUAUGUAAUGGAACAGAUUAACAACUAUGCAGUGUCCCCUGAGAUUUUCUUGGGGGAAAGCAGCUUCAUGAAAUGGUGGGGACUGUAUGAGGGCUACAUAUAUGCUCGCAGUAAUUCCCAUAGGUCACCAUUGAUCAGCUUUAUGAAGAACGGUAGUUAUACAGAGUAUCGUUAGAGGGGUAAUCCAGUUUGUGUGUUGUGUGUAUUGUUUUGUGAGCAUUCAAUGGAUAGAACUAGAAAGAGUGUGACCUUUUUCCUUUUUUUCUUCUAGUUGCUGCCCAUAUUCUCAGCACUAUUUUCUUCCUUCUUUUCCUCAGUUUUUUCUUAAGAAAUGAAUAUUAUGAUGUUGCUGGGAUGCACUUUCAUUUUUGUUCCAUUACAUUGUGUUUUAUUCAUAUCCUAAACAAAUAAAUGUAAACAAGAAAAUCAAAUAAGACUUCAAAGAGUCUGUUCCUUUUAAAGCAAGGGAAAAAAAGGACAUGUUUGUUUACUUCCACAGCUGGGUAGAUUCAACUCCACCAAAAUUGGCAACAACUUCCCAUUGAAAAAUUCCUUCUAAGCUUGAAUGACAUAAAACUAGAUAUGUUCCAGCUAGAAUGGUACAAAAAAGAAAUCAAAAGAUGAGCACAAUGGGUUAUUAUGACAGCUUUAGAAACCAUCUUACAACACAUCCAUCAGAAUUUAGACUAUUCAUAGAAACAUUCUUAACAUGUAAAUCUACUAUUGCCAUGCACGUCAACAUAGAAUUUCUAAAAUGAUUGAAUAAAAUAAAUAAAACAAAAGAAACCCUUCCAAGAGAAUUUCAUAAUCUAAUGUCAAAUCUAUUACGAAGAUGAACAUGUAAAAUUUAAGGUUUAUAAUCAAAGUCGACUUGAAUCUGAGUUUUAAAACCAAUUUGCAGUUUUUAAGUUUGGAGACUAGAUCUCUUAAACCAAUUAAAUGUAAAAAACUAAAAAGAAAACUUCUUCAAAUUUUGAAAUGAGAAUGAGAAUGCAAUUCCUAACUAGUUUCUUCAUCAAAAAUCCCGAAAAAAAAAAAAAAAGAAGAGAGAGAGAGACCAUAGACGCCAGUGUUUGGGUUUAGAACCACCCAAGAGAGAGUAGUCCAAUAUAUGGGCUUAAGAAAAUCCUCAUGGGCCUAAGCUAAGACUAGGAACAAUCUUGUAUCCGUGGUUGGUUUAGUAUGAGCAUGUGUACUGCGAAGGAAGUAGCUGAGAAUUGCAAUGGAAUUUCCAGUACUGCUUCCUGAACGAACAAAUCGCAUACCCAAGAUUUGGUCGUCAACGCCAUGCUGGGUGAGAACCGGGGAAGCAUCUUCGCUCGUUGACGAGCUUUUGUAGUCCUUCUUUAACAAUUAUAAGGCAUCUGAAUUCCCUUCAUCCUCCCACACCAUUGUUUUUGGUCUUGUUCUUGUUGCUUUGUGACUACGCAUCUCCAUGGAAGGAAGGAGGAUGAACCAAGUUCCUUUGUAUGCAUCAAUUUUACUGUUUUUUUUUUCCUUUUUAAUCUUUGGAUCGAAUCAUUGCUUAGUUCUUGCUUAAUUUCUCCAUUUUAUGUUGGGUCUUUGAUUGCAGGUUUAGCUCUGCGCGAGAACUGGGAAAUUUAAUUGUGACCUCCAAUCUAAUCGACUCUGCUUUGACUAAAAUUCUUGAGCUUCAAAGAGACCAAACAGCCUUGCCUUCCCCCGUUCAAUACAGAGUUUUUUAUCCAUCUCCCAAGUGCACAAUUGUAGCUUUUGUCUCUUCACCUGACUGCACUCAAAACCCUCUUCCUGGACAAGGAGAUUUAGUUCCCUCUCCUCUCUUUGACUUCCUCUGCACCGAAGAAUACCCUUCCGUCUCCAUUAACGGAGCCGCAUUAACCCUCUUUACCUCUCUCUACGAUCAUCUCUCUGGACUAAUAGAUGAGGUCAAAAUCUGAUACUUGUUUUAAUUUACGUUAACUUUUCGUUAACAAUUGUGAGACACGUAUAUAUAUAUAUAUAUAUAUAUAUCUUGUGGAUAAAAGGAAAGUUUACAAGUGAGAAUAGUGGCAUUUUUCUGACAGAUUUCACACCGUUGCUUGUUUUGCACUUGACUGUGAUUGAAGGUCGAUUAAUCAUCACUGGGCACUCGAUGGGAGGAUCCGUUGCUUCUCUCUUCACCUUAUGCCUGCUAGAAGUCAUUAAUAUAUCAAAACCCAAAUGCCGCCCCAUUUGCAUCACAUUUGGUUCACCCCUCAUAGGCGACUUUGGCUUCCAACACUCCAAUUGGA
rnacentral:lncRNA from 1 species